AGGUUAUUGAGUCAUGUUGGUACAGUCCAUCCGCACACAGGACUUCUCUUUUCUUUUGGAGCCGCGAUGACGCGUCGACGCCCCUGUCGUGCGAUGACUUUGAGCGACAGGUGGCUGACACUUUGGACUCGUUGCCAGCUUAUGGCAGCAAACAUACAGGGUUCCACACGCACGCCACAUGUGCCCGCCCGCAUCACCAUCCCCCUACCCCAAAAACACACUUUUUGGGGGGGGGGGGGGUGGAAGGGUGGGGGUGGGGGGGAUACUGGCCAUCCUGGUUCACACACAAACCAGCUCCUCAAGAGAGUCACAAGGGACAUCUCCGUCGGAGGAAGGCAAGAGAAUUCUGGGAGUGGAGGAGGAGGCCGUUUGGUUGGAGAGGACCAAACGGCAGGAAAUGAGAACGCUCCCCCGUGACUGGGUUGAAUGUGUAAUCGGAGGCCCAGAUCAGUCGGAGGAUUAAAGAGGGGGGGGGGGG